UUGAUCCUGGCUCAGAAUCAACGCUGGCGGCGUGCCUAACACAUGCAAGUCGAACGCGAAAGCCCCGCAAGGGGUUAGUAGAGUGGCAAACGGGUGAGUUACACGUGGGUGACCUGCCUCAGAGUGGGGGAUAACGACCCGAAAGGGUCUCUAAUACCGCAUAAUAUCCUGCGUUUGGAGACGCGGUGAUCAAAGCCGGUGAUCGCAAGACCUGGCGCUUUAAGAGGGGCCCGCGGCCGAUUAGCUAGUUGGUGAGGUAACGGCUCACCAAGGCAACGAUCGGUAUCCGGCCUGAGAGGUCGGACGGACACACUGGGACUGAGACACGGCCCAGACUCCUACGGGAGGCUGCAGUGGGGAAUUGUUCGCAAUGGGCGCAAGCCUGACGACGCAACGCCGUGUGGGGGACGAAGAUUUUCGGAUCGUAAACUCCUUUCGAUCGGGAAGAAUAGCUUCCGGGUGAAUAGCCUGGAAGUCUGACGGUACCGAGAGAAGAAGCUCCGGCUAACUCCGUGCCAGCAGCCGCGGUAAUAAGGU
rnacentral:rRNA from 1 species